AUCAUUAAGCGGAGGAAAAGAAACUAACAAGGAUUGCCUUAGUAGCGGCGAGCGAAGCGGCAACAGCCCAGACUGGGAAUCGCUCUAUGAGCGAGUUGUACAGUGAAGACAUCCAUCUUACGUGAUGCGAUUGGAGUAAGUCUGCUUAAAUUCAGCGCCAUAGAGGGUGCGAGCCCCGUUCCUCCAGUUGCUGACCGACAGAGGGUGUUCGUCGAGUCGGGUAGCUUGGGAUUGCUGCCCUAAGUGGGAGGUAGACUCCUUCUAAGGCUAAAUAGCGACAAGAGACCGAUAGCGAACAAGUACUGUGAAGGAAAGAUGAAAAGCACUUUGAAAAGAGAGUUAAAAGACUUGAAACCGCUGAGGAGGAAGCAGUGAGCAGGGAUGAGCGGGUUUCCGCGAGGCAGGCCCGGGGUUCAAACGCAGGUGCGUGUAUGCUGUUAGCAUUGCGGCCUUGCGCUUGGAUCCCGCCCCUGUGCCCCUGCCCACUGGCCCGUCUUGAAACACGGACCAAGGAGUCUAACAUGCGUGCGAGUAGGAGGGUGUUAAACCCCACUGCGCAACGUAAGUGAACCUUGUCAAACUUGCAACAGGGGCCGCGACGAGCGAGCUCAGCAGGCAUGUUGGGACCCGAAAGAUGGUGAACUAUGCUUGGGGAAGGCGAAGCCAGGGGAAACUCUGGUGGAGGCUUGUAGGGAUACUGACGUGCAAAUCGUUCUCCUCACCUGAGUAUAGGGGCGAAAGACUAAUCGAACCAUCUAGUAGCUGGUUCCCUCCGAAAUUUCCCUUAGGAUAGCUGGAACAAAGCAGUUUUAUCGGGUAAAGCGAAUGAUUAGAGGUUAGGGGGUUGAAACAACCUUCACCUAUUCUCAAACUUUAAAUUGGUAAGCCUGAAGUUGCUUAAGUGAACUUCGGGAUGAAUGCAUGUUCCAAGUGGGCCAUUUUUGGUAAGCAGAACUGGCAAUGAGGGAUCAACCUAACGUGGGGUUAAGGCGACAGAUUGACUGCUCAUCAGAUGAAAAGGUGUUAGUUCAUUUAGACAGUAGGACGGUGGCCAUGGAAGUCGGAACCCGCUAAGGAGUGUGUAACAACUCACCUACCGAAUGAACUAGCCCUGAAAAUGGAUGUCGCUAAGCAGUCAGCCGAUACCCCGCUGUCACCCUAGACUGGGUGACAAGUAGGAGGGCGUGAGGGCCGCUUUGAAGCUUACGCGUGAGCGUGAGUGGAGCGCCUCUUAGUGCAGAUCUUGGUGGUAGUAGCAAAUAUUCAAAUGGGAACUUUGAAGACUGAAGUGGAGAAGGGUUUCAUGAGAACACUAUUUGGUCAUGAGUGACUCGGUCCUAAGGCCAGGGGUACGCCCGUGACGACGCAUGUCCAGGCCGAAAGGGAAUGUGGUUAAAAUUCCACAAGCAGGCGGUGGGUAUUAUGUGGCAACACAACUGAACUCAAAGACGUCGGGGCGAGGUCCCAGGGAGAGUUCUCUUUUCUUCUUAACAGUUCGCUGCCCUGGAGGUCUUUGCGACGAGAGAGGGCUACCGAGCUGGAAGAGCAGCACACCCUUCGUGCUGUCUGGUGCACCUCCUUCGGCCCUUGAAAAUUUGAGGGAACUCUUAUCACACGCCUGGCCGUACCCAUAACCGC
rnacentral:rRNA from 1 species